AUGCGCGUUGAUUCAGAUGAUGAUGGAAUGUCCGACCACGAUUGGCCGGACUCUUGGUUUCGGGUGGUAGAACGGCCCAUCAAGAAGCAAAAACAUGAGGAAAAACCAUCUCUUUUCAGCUUUCAUAAGCUGCGGGAUUGCCCGGACUCUUGGUCUAAGCUUCCCCCGAAGAAGAAGAAGAAGAAGAAGAAGAAGAAGAAGCAAAAACAUGAUGAAGAACCAUACACACUGAGCUUGGAUGAGCUGCAGGAGUUUAUAGCAACCUGGAGGGAGCCGUGCCUUCAACAUCCAGUUGACAAGAUACAGAAUGCUGAUGACAACACUUAUCUCAAGGAUGUCGAACCAACAUUAGCGUUUGUUCUUCAGGAUGAUGGAAUUGCUGUUCUUAAUAACGAGACAUGCUUUUCUGCUGAUAACAUUAGAGCGUUGUGUGACAUUGGUAAUUCUACAAAGAAAGGGUCAAACAUGGGGUAUAUUGGAAAUAAAGGCAUUGGAUUCAAAUCAGUAUUUCGGGUAACUGAUGCUCCAGAGAUCCAUUCAAAUGGGUUUCAUGUGAAAUUCGACAUUACAGAAGGCCAGAUUGGUUUUAUCUUGCCGACUGCAAUUCCACCUUUUGAUACUAACCCUUUGAGUAGAAUAUUAUCUCCUGAAGAUAGCUACGAUGCAUGCUCCUCCUGGAAAACUUGUAUUUUGCUCCCUUUCAGGUCAAACUUCAGGGAGGGCACUGGUAUGUGCUCCGUCAUGUCCAUGUUUUCAGAUCUUGAACCAUCUCUGCUCUUGUUUCUUCACAGGCUAAAAUGCAUCAAAUUCAAAAAUAUGCUCAGUGAGAAAUUUCUAGUAAUGAGAAGAAAAUCUCUUGCUGAUGGCAUUGUGAAAAUUUCACGUGGGAAUGAGACAGUGAGCUCGUUGGUAGUUACUAAGAAAUUACAGAGCUCGCUUGUUCGUCAUGAUGUCUGUAGUACAGAGAUAGCUAUGGCAUUUUCUUUGCAGGAGACAGAAGAUGGAGAGUAUGAACCUUAUUUGAAGCAACAACCUGUCUUUGCUUUCCUUCCUCUAAGGAACUACGGUCUUAAAUUCAUUCUUCAAGGAGAUUUUGUUUUGCCUUCUUCUAGAGAAGAAGUGGAUGCAGAUAGCGCAUGGGACCAAUGGUUGCUGUCUGAAUUCCCAUCUUUAUUUGUUAGUACUCAAGAAUCUUUUUGUGCUCUACCUUGCUUCCGAAAGUGCUCUGGAAAAGCUGUUACGGCCUUGAUGAGUUUUGUGCCUCUACCGGGAGAAGUUCAUGGGUUCUUUUCUCAGCUCCCUCAUUUGAUCCUUUCCAAGUUGCGCCUUACCCGCUGCAUGGUUUUGGAGGGCUCCAGUUUGCAGUGGGUCCACCCAUGCAACACACUAAGGGGUUGGGAUGAACAGGCUAGAACGCUAUUGCCUGAUACCAUACUCCGUGAACAUCUUCACCUUGGAUAUUUAUCAAAAGAUGUUACUGUAUCUGAUACAUUAUCAAUGGCCUUAGGUAUACAUGAGUAUGGACCGAAAUUUUUGACUGAUAUUAUGUCAUCUAUUUGCCAAACUGAUGGUUGCAUUGAGUCACUGGGACUGGAAUGGCUAUGUGCUUGGUUUGUUACACUUCAUUCGGCGUUGCUGUCUCAUUCUUCUCGAGAUCUUCCCUUGAGAACAAAUUUUGAAAGUGAUACUUUAUGUUCUCUCAGGAAAAUGAAAUGCAUCCCACUUUCAGAUGGUUCAUUUAGCUGUAUAGCAGAUGGCCCAAUAUGGUUGAAUUGUGAUCUUCUCGACUCUCCGCCCGGAUCCAAAAUCAGCAUACAGAGCUUCCCAGUUCUGUACAGCAGCCUUCGCAUUGUGAGCCCACACAUCCUCCCCAUGUCCUGCAAAAAUAGUUACAUUGUCGAAGAGACAAGAACAAGUGACCUUAUAGAUAUUUUAUUGAAAGUUGGUGUGCUGAAGUUGUCUGGACAUGACAUUAUAAAAAAUCACAUCCUGGUGUCAUUGCCUAAUGCUACAGAUGCUAAUCCAGAAGAGAAAAUGAUGACAGAAUAUAUGAGUUUUAUCAUGCUACAUCUUCGGCCCCCCUGUAUAAGCUGUAACCCUGAGAAAGAAGAGAUUGUCUCAGAAUUACGAAAGAUGCCCGUCUUACUUACGAACAGUGGCUAUAAGUGCCCAGCUGAUGUACCCAUUCACUAG
rnacentral:rRNA from 1 species